CAAAACAAAAGUGACAGAGUGACUAGUUUGAAAAUUCAAAUAUAUAUUGUAAGUAUUUUUCUGGGCAAUGCAUCAUGCUUCCUUGUUGACAACAUGGCCGAGCGUCGCAGAUUACUGUUCUGUUUGAGAGGGCGCUCCUCUGUCACUGCGUUUUCCCGGUGGUUCAACCAUGUCACGAGUGAAAAUGUAUUGGUCGCGGUAUUUUUUGGGCAACUUCUACCAACAUUUUGGCGUUUCAACAACAAAACCAUCUAUUUCACUGUGACCUGUUUCUGACUAUUAGGCAGGCUGUUGUUGACUAUCAGGCUGUUGUUAACUAUCAGGCUGUUGUUGACUAUCAGGCUGUUGCUGACUAUCAGGCUGUUGUUAACUAUCAGGCUGUUGUUGACUAUCAGGCUGUUGUUAACUAUCAGGCUGUUGUUAACUAUCAGGCUGUUGUUGACUAUCAGGCUGUUGCUGACUAUCAGGCUGUUGUUAACUAUCAGGCAGUGUGGCAGGCUGUUGUUAACUAUCAGGCAGUGUGGCAGGCUGUUGUUAACUAUCAGGCAGUGUGGCAGGCUGUUGUUAACUAUCAGGCAGUGUGGCAGGCUGUUGCUGACUAUCAGGCAGGCUGCUGUUAACUAUCAGGCAGUGUGGCAGGCUGUUGCUGACUAUCAGGCUGUUGUUAACUAUCAGGCAGUGUGGCAGGCUGUUGUUAACUAUCAGGCAGUGUGGCAGGCUGUUGUUAACUAUCAGGCAGUGUGGCAGGCUGUUGUUAACUAUCAGGCUGU
ensembl:lncRNA